rnacentral:misc_RNA from 1 species
UGCAGGCAUUUCAGAUAUCCCUGGUUAGAAUUUUUCUUUUGUCUAUAUGCUGUAUGAUCAUUUGUUUUCUUCUGAUAGAAUCUUUCAACGUUAUCAUCAAUCACUUCUAUGUUUUCAUUAAGAAUAAAAAUUUGCACAGAUGUUCUAGCAAAACAGGCAAAAAUUCUCAAAUUGUACUACCUGGCUGUAUUCGUUUGGAAAUUGUUUAUGCUUACUUGAUUAAGUGUGAAGUAGACAUGGGCCUGGUCUGGGUUUGGACCGACACCAGUCAAACUGGAUUUGACCAGAUUUGUCUUGAACCAGGCUGGACUGAUUUUGACUGGUUCAGUCCGGUUCUGGAUCAAAAUUGGAUUUUUAAAAAGACUUUGACCUUUUUAUUUGAUCAAAACCAUUUGGUCCAGGUCCCCAACCCUUAGGACAGGAACCGGACUGUUCCCGGGCUUAAUGUGCACUGUGAA